UCCUCUGUGGCGCAAUUGGCAGCGCGUCUGACUGUUAUCUAACAGGUCAUCAGGAGGUUCGUGGUUCGAACCCACGCGGAGGAG
rfam:Valsa mali strain 03-8 unplaced genomic scaffold scaffold00022, whole genome shotgun sequence.